AGAUGUUGACAUCCAAAAAGAACUGGGUUGCCAUUUAUGAACUCCUGUUGAAGGAGGGAGUGAUGGUGGCCAAGAGCGAUGUCUUUAUACCUAAGCACCCAGAACUGGCAGACAAACAUGUGCCCAAGCUACAUGUCUUGAAGGCCAUCCAGUCUCUCAGGUGUCAAGGCUGCAUGAAGAAACAGUUUUCCUGGAGACAUUUCUACAGGCACCUUACCAACAAGAGUAUCUAGUUUCUCUGUAAUUAACUGCCCCCUGAGGUAAUGCUGCCCCACUGCGUCACAGUUGUCCUGAGAUUGGCAGGCCUUGGUCUAAAGGUCUGGAGGGCCAGUGGCGAGACUCACAAGAAGGGAAGCUGACAGAGACACCUACAGAUGGAGUGGUGUCCCCCUGAUGCCAACAAGAAAGCCAAGACUGGGCAUGGGUCAGCACCUGAAUUCCAGAUUUGAUCUUGGACAUGAUCAGCCACCUCAGU
rnacentral:lncRNA from 1 species